CUGGGAAAUUUUGGCAAUCAUCUUUCUAGAGUAUCCUGAAAUGAAGAAAAUACUCAAUCCUGAUCACUU
ensembl:snoRNA